CUAAAAGGAAGAGAUCAGAUUCACCCACAUCAUCACAUCUGUCACUGAAGAGUGAAGAAUCACUACUUCAACCAAUAUACUUCAGCAAUGAACCACAGAAAGACAUUGACAGAGCUGAACAGAAGAGAUCAGAUUCACCCACAUCAUCACAUCUGUCUCUGAAGAGUGAAGCAUCACUUCUUCAACCAAUAUACUUCAGUAAUGAACCACAGAGAGACAUAGACAGUGAGUUGGAAGCAUCACCUGAGCAGGUGGAGUCUGUACCUGCUGAAAGCUUGCUUCUGUGGCACCAAUGUAACGUCUGUGCUGAGAAAAGAAACUGUGGACACAGCAAAGGCUA